rnacentral:tRNA from 1 species
GGGCAGUUAGCUCAGUGGUAGAGCGUCUGCCUUACAAGCAGGGGGUCACUGGUUCAAGUCCAGUACUGCCCACCA